rnacentral:lncRNA from 1 species
AAAAGGAAUUAAGAGAAAAAAGCUUGAACGGGAACUAGUUAGGUAUAGCAGCUCAGGCUCCACCUUCAUGGCCAUCAUCAAACACACACACAACCCCCAAAACCUUAACCUAAAACUCUCCAACGAUGAACCAAUCUCCAGAACCUCACAACUCCUUUUUCUCAAUCAUAUCAAUGGCCACCCAACUACCAUCUGUCCACUAGGUUCACACGAUCUCUGCUAGCACUGUCAGGGCCCACCAUCAAAUCAGUUUCCAAUGCCAUCCCAUUCAACUAAGCCAUCUUUGUCGUACCAAUCCCACCAAAAGGUCCAAAACAGUCUCAUCAAAUCAUCACCAACACUCUGCCGCUUUUUCCUCCACAUCCUUCAUGCCUCCAUUCCCCACCCCCUUUUUCGAGUCUUUUCAUGUCUCCCUCCCUUUGUUUAAUUUGUUCCACUCGCAUGCAUGAAGUUAGGUUUUCUCUGCCGCUGUUUCCUCCUUUAUCACUGAUGUUUUGUUUUACUGAAUGUGUUUACUUCCGCAUGUUUAGUACUAAAGAAAAAAAUAUGGUUUGUUUAGUUUCAA